rnacentral:lncRNA from 1 species
AGAGCUAAGCGAGAUAAAAAUAUCAAUCAAUAAAGAAUGAACGAAGAAUGAGCAGUGUUAAAUUAUUACACAAGCCAAAACUAAGACAAAUCAAACGACAGAACGUGAAAACAAAUGUAAACAAGACAAAAAGAGAUGGUGAAGAUAAAAUGCAUUGAAAAACUGAAUGUUAAAUUAAUAAGCAAGAGACAAAAAUAUAUUAAAAUGCAGAAACCUAACGAUCCCUGCUAAAAUAAAAACGACU